rnacentral:rRNA from 1 species
AUUGAACGCUGGCGGCAGGCCUAACACAUGCAAGUCGAGCGGUAGAGAGGUGCUUGCAUCUCUUGAGAGCGGCGGACGGGUGAGUAAUGCCUAGGAAUCUGCCUAGUGGUGGGGGAUAACGUUCGGAAACGGACGCUAAUACCGCAUACGUCCUACGGGAGAAAGCGGGGGAUCUUCGGACCUCGCGCCAUUAGAUGAGCCUAGGUCGGAUUAGCUAGUUGGUGAGGUAAUGGCUCACCAAGGCGACGAUCCGUAACUGGUCUGAGAGGAUGAUCAGCCACACUGGGACUGAGACACGGCCCAGACUCCUACGGGAGGCAGCAGUGGGGAAUAUUGGACAAUGGGCGAAAGCCUGAUCCAGCAAUGCCGCGUGAGUGAUGAAGGCU